rnacentral:lncRNA from 1 species
CCUGCCCUAUUGUGAGCAAUCCAAUGAAUCACCUGGAAAUCAAAAUAGAGAACUGUCAACACAUGAGGACACAAGGAUAACUAUUUAAGCUAACACACAACACAAGUCUCCCAAGCAAAUGCUUCAUGAAUUGGUAUCUCAUCAAGAGGUAAACAAGGAGAAUCAAACAAAGGAAAGCCUAGAACAACAGGAAAGGGCAAGAGUGGAGGAGCAGGAAGACUGUCAAAACCAUAUUAAUCUCAUUGAAAUGUGUAAAAAAGCAAGUAUGUCACCACAAGAGAUAACAAAGAAAAAGAAGACUAAACCUCAAGGACAUGUCAGGGUCAAUCCUAUGAGGGUUGGAAGAAUAGGUUCGAAAUGAAGUACACAUCUUUGAUGGAAUAUUAGAUCUGUGAGGACUAAUCAUUCAUUCCAUAGAGUACAAAUGUUGCAUAGACAUCAUAAAUUUGAUGUGGUGGCUCUAAUGGAACCUUUUCAAGAUAUAAGACAUAUUCAAUCAUACAAAAGAAGGUUGGGCAUGGCAUAUGCAAAUUACAAUGUAAAUGGGAAGAUAUGGUUAUUUGUACAAGAGAAUAUUCAGGUGGAGGUAAUAUCAGACUCAGAACAACAACUGACUGUCAAACUACUAUUUGAUAAUGGCCAUCAAAUGAUCAAUACUUUGGUAUAUGCAAAGUGUAGUUCCUAUGAAAGGCUCCAGUUAUGGAAUGAGAUAUACUCUAUUGAUCAGAAUAUGAUAUAUCCAUGGUUGGUUGUGGGUGAUUUUAAUGUCAUUUUGACUCUAGAGGAGAAGAUAUGAGGACUACCAGUAUAUCUUACUGAGGUGGAAGAUUUUGCUUGUUGUAGAAACUCUUGUGAAUUGGUUGAUCUAAGAUUCAAUGGAAUUCCUUUCACAUGGUGGAAUGGUAGGGCUGAUGAGGAGUGCAUCUUUAAAAGAUUGGACAGAAUCCUUGUAAAUAAUUUGUUUUUGGGAGAAAUGGGGAAUUUAAAAUUAGAUAUCAUUGCUAGGUCUGGCUCUGAUCAUGCACCAAUGUUAUUAACAUGUGGUAGACAAGCUCCACCUAUAUAUAAGCCAUUCAGAUUCCUUACAUUUUGGACUGAGAAAGAAGAGUUUAAAGAGGUCAUUCUACAAAAUUGGGUUGCUGAUGGUAAUAUAGAUGUUUUUAUAAACUUGAAGGUAAAGAUGAAGAGAACUAAACAGACCCUGAGAAAGUAGAGUAAAGAUUGUUAUGGUGAUAUUUUUCAACAACUAAUCAUCAGGGAGGAUAUUGUCAGAGUUAAGGAACAGUUGUUUGAGCAUACACCAAAUUUUGUCAAUAGAGAAGUACUUAGUAGAGCUCAAGCUGAGUAUACUAAGUACCUGCACUUUGAGGAAGAGUUUUGGAGGCAGAAAUCAGGAAUUCAGUGGUUCACAGAGGGGGAUAGAAAUACUAAAUUUUUCCAUAACUUGGUAAAAGGUAGAAGGAAAAGACUAAACAUUGAUAGGAUUUAGAAAGUUGAUGGUACAUGGGCUGAGAGGACUGAAGUUGAGAUAGAAGCCAUAAGAUUUUAUCAUGAGCAAUUUACAGGAGGGGCAACUGAUGUGGAUCUGACCUUACUUGAUUUAGUUCCUAGUAUGGUGACAGAAGAAGAUAAUGUACAAUUGAACAAACCUCCUACAUUAGAAGAAGUCAUAAGGGUAGUUUUUGAACUAAAUGGAGACAGUGCUUGUGGUCUAUUGGCUUUUUUUAAUGGUUUGACAUUACCAAAAGCUAUUACUCACACCAAUUUGGUCUUGAUCCCUAAAGAGAAAAGGUGGUUUCAUUUUCUGAUUUAAGACCCAUCAGUCUGAGUAACUUCUUCAACAAAGUCAUAUCUAGACUCAUCCAUGAUAGACUAGAAGAUCUGCUGCCUAAGCUUAUUUCGAAAAACCAAUCUGGAUUUGUUAAAGGUAGGAACAUUACUGAAAAUGCUUUACUUGCACAGCAAAUUAUAGUAGACAUCAGAAAAAGGAGUAAGACUGCUAAUGUGGUGUUUAAGCUAGACAUGGAGAAAGCUUAUGAUAGAGUGGACUGGAGGUUCAUGAUGAAAGUCCUUGGCAAGAUGGGUUUCAACAAUGUAUUCCCAGACAAGAUUUGGAGGCUAGUUGGUAAUAAUUGGUACUCUGUGUCAAUUAAUGGACAAGCCUCUGGAUUUUUUCAUUCUACUAGAGGGGUCAAACAAAGGGACCCACUAUCUCCUGCAUUAUUUAUACAGACUGUUGAAGUCCUCUUAAGGGCCUUGAAUACCCUACAUUCUUUUCCACAAUAUAAGAGCUUUGGGUUACCUAAGUGGAGUGAGAACAUUUCUCACUUGGCUUAUGCAGAUGAUACCAUAAUUUUUGCUAAUGCUGAUAGUUUCUCUAUAAAACUGUUAAUAAAUACUUUGCAGAAAUAUGAAAAACAAUCAGGGCAAAAGAUCAAUAAGGACAAAAGUGCCUUUUUUGUGCAUAAUAUGGCUGCUCAUAGAGAUAUUCAACUGAUAGGGGAAUGAUCAGGAUUUUCAAGAGGUAUUUUUCCUUUAACAUACCUAGGUUGCCCAAUUGGGCAUGCUAGGAAAAGGAAAACUCAUUUUGCUGAUCUGAUGAAGAAAGUGCUGAAUAAACUACAAGCUUGGAAAGGAAAGUUAGUCUCAUUUGGAGGAAAGGCUGUUCUAAUUAAUAAUGUGCUACAAAGUGUCCCUAUAUAUCAACUAUCUGUAAUCAUACCUCCUAAUCCUGUGAUUCAUGAUCUACACAAAUUAUUUGCAAGAUUCCUAUGGAGUUUUAAGGAAGGUAGCAGAAGCAAGAAUUGGGUUUCUUGGACUGAAAUUUGUCAACCUAAAAUGGAAAGAGGGUUGGAUUUCAAUUCCCUAUUUAAUGUAUCAAGAGAUUUGUUUGCAAAGCUUAGGUGGAAUUUUAGAACCAAACACUCUAUCUGGUCACACUUCAUGUGGAACAAAUAUUGUAAAGAGUGUAGACCUCAGAUAGUGGAGUGGAAGGGAGGUUCUCAGACUUGGAAGUAUAUGUUACAGGCUAGGGAUUCCAUAGAUCAAGAAAUUUGGUAGUAGCCUAACAAUGGAUCCUCUAGUAUUAUAUUUGAUAAUUGGUCUCAAGUUGGAGCAUUACAUUACUAUCUUCCAGUAUAUUUUUCUUCUAGUCUCGAUCAAAAAGACAUUAGUCAAGUGAUGAUUCAAGGGAAGUGGAAUGAGGAGUUGCUACGAAAUAUCUUGCCUGAAGGAGUUACAUGACACAUUAUUAAAAACAUUGAUAUUGUUCAAGGGUGUGAGGAGAUGGAUAAACCUUACUGGAUGCUCAAUCACUCAGGUAAGUUCUCUAUCAGGUCAGCUUGGGAGAGUUUGAGAAAUCCGGGGGUAUAUCAGGAAGAAUUUAGACAAGUAUGGGAGAAAUGGGUCCCUUUUAAAAUCUCUUUCUUCUUCUGGAGAUUGAUUAAACAAAGAAUUCCUAUUGGAGAACUUUUGGUCAGAAUGGGGCUAGAUGAGGUGGUGUAUUGUUGUUGAUGUGACCUGAACAUUAAUGAAACAUGGGAACAUCUUUUUAUUGCUCGUCAUAAAUCUCAGUUUCUGUGGACCAUGGUUGGAAGAGUUGCUGGAGUUGAGGGGACUUUUCUACAAUUGAAAGACACCAUUUUUAAAUGGUGUAAUGCAGAAUGUAGUGCUAAAUUGAGGCCUCUUUUCAAUGCUAUCCUUGGUUUUAUCCUAUGAGAAAUUUGGAAAGGAAGAAAUAUUGUGAAACAUGGUGGAAAAAUGUGUAGGUACAGUAUGUUGGCAGAAAUUAAUAGAAAUAUCCACAGUCUGGAUGUGGUUAUAUAUCCUUGGUUACACAAGAUACCUAAAGAGUGGGCUAUGAUGGUGCAUUUCUUUGAGAAUUACAAAUCUGUUAUAUCGACUAGGGUGAUUUGCUAGGUCCCUCCUGGCAUAGGGGUGUACAAAUGUAAUUCAUAUGGUGCAUCUAAGGGUAAUCCAGGACCUAGUUCUGGGGGUUUCUGCAUCAGAAAUUGGGAAGGAGAAUUCAUAUAUGCAGUUACACAGGAGUUGGGAGUCAAGACAAAUCUGGAAGCAGAGGUCAUUGCUUUAAAAAGGGGACUACAAUUUUGUGUGUCCAACAAUCUAUUACCUGUUAUACUGGAGACUGACUCAUUAAUGGUGUCUCAAUUAUUGGGUGGCAAUUGGGAAACUCCAUGGAGCGUUAGCUUGAUGAUUAAGAAAAUACAAUGGUUGAGGAAGGAAGGAGGAGUGAAGGUGUCUCAUUUGCUCAGAGAAGGAAACAAAGUUGCAGACUACUUUGCAAAAUUUAUUUUUUCAUGUGCAGGUACAUGUUUUAAAGCUUUUAACACAUACAUGGAAGUUCCCAGGGAAGGGAAGGCACUCAUCGAACUAGAUGCAAAUAGAGUUCCAAACUUAAGAGUUACCAAAUGCCAGAAUCCCUCAUUUACAGUAUAAGGUGCCCAGGUUACAUCAAUACUAAGAACAUGUUGUUCAAGAAGAAGAAACAAGAUUUACCUCAACCGAUGACCAUGGAUCUAAAUCGGAGCCAUUUAGACAGUGGUAUUAGCUCCUUGCGAGCUCAAUCUGUCAAAUGGUAAUGAUUUAGAAACAUGAGAUCAGUGAGGUAGCAAGACAUAGGAAUACAAAAAAGCAUAAUAGCAAGAGAAGGAGUAAGAACUCUUCAAUUAAGUACGGAAUCUACAAUACAAUCCCAGAAAAAACAUGAAUUAUUCCGAAUCGUUGCAAUAAGGUUGAGAAUAUAGGGCUCACCUUCAAAUGAAAGUAUCAAAUUUGAGCUACAUCAAGUUGAAGAAGUCUUCAUCGGACAAGAUUACAUGGCGCUUGUGACAGAUUGGAGCGUCUUGGAUGUAAUCUAUCCAAGCUCGAUGUUCUCAGGUCCUUGACCUUUCAUCAAUGGAGGUUCAUUGUUCCCUCCAAGUUCAGCUGACAGUGGUGAUAGCAAGGAAUAGAGAAAAGGGCGGCUACUUUCCCCUUUUUG